CGCCACUGACCCCCACAAGUCCCACUUUUCAAGUACAGCGGUAACCCCUGUCACUUUUCUCCACAGGAGGUCACCCAGUCUGCGCAUGUCAAUUACCUCCUGUGAUAUUUUGCACACUUGUGUGUCCACUGGCCUCGCCGCCCCCCCUUUCUGAUGGACUGGAGUCAAUUAAGAGCAUACCAGAGCUUUCAACGAAAAGAAGAAGAACAAGAGACGGGAGUCAGUGACCUCACAGCAAAAGACCGAAUCAGGUAGAGGGAGGCAUGUGCGACUGAAGUCUGAGCAAGACAUGAUGGAUUUCCCGGUUGCGGGUUUGAUGAUAAAUAUGAAAAGACCAUUUAUUAAAGCUUGGCUGAAUGCAGCAAUGCUCCUUCAAAGAUCUGUCUCCUUGUCUUCAGCCUGGGAUGGCACAUCUGGGUGUUUUGUAGAUCUAGGCCAGACAUUUCAUCAUCCAAGUCCUCAGAGGAGACGUUAGUCGCAGUCCCGCACUGACAUGAGUGCAGCUUUGCUGUUUUUCAGUUCUGAGUCUGUAGAAGCCAGAUAAAAGACAAGACAAGAGGUCAGGAAGUCACGAGAGAGAUUGGGAUGAUUCUUCAACAUUCCUCCUUGUCCAACACAUUUAAAACGAUACAAGGUGGAGUAAACGAUGACAGAUUUUUCUUUUUU
ensembl:lncRNA